UGCCCACCCAGCUCACGUCCUGACCAACACUAAAACAAGCAAAACACAUAAGAACUAUGGUCAGGACGUGACAGUAAUUGGGAACACAUAUGGCGCAGGGAGAAGUCAAAGGAUCCUAGUCAGGCUAUUUUUUGUGAAAUCCAGAUUAAAUAUAGGGCUUCAUGUGUAUCAAAUCUGUAGGCAAUAGUGGGCUGAAUCAAUGAAAAAUAUAGCUGAAAUGUGCAGGCUUUGUCAGGAUCUGUGAUCAAAAUAGACAGGGGUGUUUCCGGUUCCGUUUAGGCUAUAGGUUACGCAUAAGAACUCAGAUACACUGAGAUGAAUAGCCUGAUUCAGUGCGAUUCUCCUGAAUAAAAAUCUGUUAAGCUGUUUGGUCUAUGAUUACCGCUUCUGUACCGAUUCUAUCUUUUUGGUCUUUUUCUAUAUGUUGAGGGUGAGCAAGAGCUUCGAUAGUCUAGUGGACUAUGCAGAAAUAAUUGUGGAAUUCAUCAUUGUUAAAGCCUAUAUCGCUUUAUAUAAUCUGGACUGUUGUUUUUACUAAGGCUUAGCAAACAAGGGGCAGCAUACGCUUUUUGCCCAUUUCUAUAACAAGAGUUAGGCCUAUAUCCUCACAUACCCCCUCAAUUCAAGCCCUGCUUUUAACCAUAAGACAUCUCAAUGAUUGUGUCUGUUAAACAGGUGAACUUGUGGUAAACUGGGAACUCUGGGGAAAGGACAAGGACAACACUAAAAGGGCACUGAACCCACACGUGGCGCCUCCACAAUACACUGAACCCACACAUGGCGCCUGCAUGAUACAACAUUAGAACACAAGUUGUACUAAUCAUUAAGGUGGUUGUCAGCAUGACUUUCAACUGCACAAUAUGCAUGAAUUCAAAACGUUCUGCUGAGUUGACCCUAGAAAUGUAGCCUAGAUAGUAUCACUUCUUUAUUUCCCUUGUGAAACAGGUUUUACUACCAGCAAGUAAAUACACUUCUAUCCACAGUUCUGUGGGUAACACAUUCACCCAAAAGCACCUUUUUACUGAAUUACUGUUGACACAUAAUUUACAGUUGACAGUCUUUUAACAUCCCCCACAAAACACAUAGUUAUAGUAUACGACUAGAUACAAAUCAUCGAACUGAACAAAUAAAAGAGCAAUAGACUUUUAAAACGUCCUCCUCCCUAACAUUCCCUGUUAUACAACUGUACAUGUUGGUUUCACUCUAAGCUGUAGGUCAAGGUUUCCUUCCUCAUAAAACCCCUCUCUUCCUGUUUUCUAUCUCUGCAAUCAAUGGACAAAUGUAUCUACAAUUAAAAUAAUCUAACAACAAUACAACUGUUUGCAGUUUAGCAGUAUUAUUAGGAUGAAUUUGUCAGACUACUCAGACAGAUAGUAAACAGAAUGUAAAUCUAAGCCUGCAAGCAUUGGGUACUUUCAAUUCUCUGCCUGUUUCAUUAAAAACACUGCAGGGACUUUCCUAGUCAAACUGGAUGGGUGAAAACAAAUACCAUAAUGCUUUCCCCUGUCUCCUGUUCAGAUGAGUGACAAUGAAAGAAAGGAGAUAGAGGAAGCCCCUGUAGACUAUUGAGGUGCACCCCUACAGUAGGCUGUGGCUGCCUUGUUAUCAGUCCUGUAUUUCUCUCCCUCAGAAUGAGGAGACCAAGGAGCUGCUCUCACUUAUGACUCCACUGAUGAAGAAACAAAGCCGCUUGAUGACAUUGGAUCCUCCUCAAGAGGUCAAAGGGCAGACUGUAACCUCUCAGGCAGUAACAUCCCAGUCUGCUUCAGUGGCCCAGAAAUCAGGAGCAAACCCAGACUCAGAGCUGGAUAGUGAUGAUUCGCUCACCCCCUGCGAUAUCAGCUGAACAGGAAUGAGGCAAGCCGCCUCGUUACCCCGAGACUGUCUGGAGGCCUUCCUCUCCUCUGAGGACCCAGCGAGGGUGGAGCACAGUGAGACACUUCUACAGCCAGAGAGGUUUUCAUGAAGUCUUCAGGUCAGUUCAUGAUACACCGUAACUCUUAAGAAUUUAACAAAUCCAGUGUGUGGGUCUUCCAGUGAGUUGGAGAGGAUUGAGGAAACAUGGAACAGUUUGAAACCUUCAUAUGGACUAUACCUGUUAUAUUGGUGCUUGUAAGCAUUGGAUCCUGUAUUGCAUGUGAUAGAGCUGAGUACAGAAUAGAGGAUACAUGUUGUCUCAUGUGUUCACCAGGAAAUCAUGUACAUAAGCAUUGUACAGAACUCACCACUACCUCCUGUGUGUCCUGUAUUGAUUCUACAUUCCUUGAUGAGCCCAAUGGUCUCAUGAAAUGUGCACCAUGUUCCAGCUGUGAUUCAGAUUUGGGUUUGAGGGUGAAACAGCCAUGCACAUCACAAUCAGAUGAUUUUUGUGAGCCACUGGAGGGGUUCUUUUGUUGGUUCUCAAACAAACAUGGUUGUAAAAUAGCCCAGAAACACAGAAGCUGUCAACCUGGUCAAUACAUCCAUCACACAGGAACAAUAUCUACAGAUACUGUGUGUUCUGACUGUACUGGUGACACCUAUUCAGAUGGAUCAUUUACAUCCUGCCAGACACACACACAAUGUGAAUCCUUGGGACUUCAGGAAAUUAAUCCAGGAUCUCCUUGGUGGGAUUCAGAGUGUGGACCCCUACUAUCCCAUUCCACAGCUAGUAGCAGAAUUGGUGCUGUGGCAUCCAUGACACUGCUAUUAGCUGGAGCUGUUUUAUUUGCAUUUUAGUAAUUUAGCAGACACUCUUAUCCAGAGCAACGUACAGUAGUGAGUGCAUACGUUUUCAUUAAUACUGGUCACCCAUGGGAGUCGAAGCAACAACCUUGGCAAUGCAAGCGCCAUGCUCUACUAACUGAGCUACACGGGAUGUAUUUUUAGAAAUAGUGAAAAAAAUGUAAAACUCAAAUUCAUGUUAGGAAUUCUAUCUGUUUCUAUUGCAUCGGUAAAUUAUUGUGUGUGUGUGUGUGUGUGUGUGUGUGUGUGUGUAAACCAAGAUACAUUUGACCAACUGGGGACAUUUUGUUGUUCCUCACAAGGUCAAAUGCUAUUUCUAGGGGGUGUAUGGUUAAGGUUAGAAUUAGUGUUAGGGAAAAUGGGAUUUUGAAUGGGUCUGAAUUGUAUUUUUCCCCCUAAGGUUAGCUGUACAAGAAUGUGUGUGUGCGUGUAUGUCAGAGAGUGGAGUGGCAGGGCGCAGGUAGACUAGUGGUUAAGAGUGUUAGGAUAGUAACCAAAAGGUCGCUGGUUCGCAUCCCCUAGCUGACUAAGGUCACUGGUUCGAAUCCCAAAGCAGACUAGGUGGAGGAAAAAUAAUUAUGUUGAUGUGCCCUUCAGCAAGGCACCUAACCCUAAGAGCUACUGAUACAUUAUUUAAAUGUACAACGUUUGUGUCUGUGCGCCCCUGUCAAUCCAAAACGUCCUAUAUGUCAUCCAUUUGGAUUAAAUAUUUCUCAGACUAUCGUAGUAAUAACUAACCAAAUUAUACUUGUUUUUUCAUAGUGGAAACAGAAGACACAUAGCGUUUUAAUCAGCAGUUCUAGCCAGUUCAGGGAACGGACCUAAAACAGAACAAACAUUUUCUUCAAAUAACAGAAACUGAACUGGGAACAAAAGUGAUCUCUAGUCUUCUGGAACAGAAACGUUAUUUACAAAUCUUGAAAACCGGUUCAUGUAAUGUUAUUUUAUGUUCCAAAAAUAUUCCUAAUGUCUAGUAUAUAAUUAUGUAAUUCAGUGAAGUUAUGAUGCUAGUAAUAGCCUAAACACAUUCUAGUUCACGUCAUGUCAUGAUGUUCAAUGCUUAAAGCCAUGCGCCCUCCAUGUCCACCUUUGCUCUCACUCUCUCCACACUUGUGAAAUUUCAGUGGCAUUUCGCAGCCUGCACUGAUCUGGGAGCUGAGUUUGAAAUUGUACCAUUGAAAAUGUGCAAUAUCAUAAAUGAUCACCAUCUGUACUCAGAUGAAGUGUCAUGGAUGCCACACACCAGAACUAUAGCAUGAACAUAUCCACACCUCCGUGGAUAAAAUAAACUGCAAUGUACUUCCACUUGAAUUUUGACUAAUUCAAUGUGGAUUUAUCAGGAGUUGACUGUAUUCAGGCAAAGUUACAGGGAUCUAUGAUCUUGAUUCACCUGUUCUUUAACCUAGUUGAUUUGCAACAUCCUAUGUCAAGACCAUGUCACUUUUUACUGUUAAUGGUGUUAUAAAAAGUAAAAUGUGAUAUGAACAGUCUUUAAUUCUAACCAAACCGUUUUGCUGAUUACAUGAAUAACAAUUCUAUGUACAUUCUAUUUAAAUCAUCUGAUACAUUUUACAUGACUUCUUGUUUUUUUGUACAGUAAUUUGUAUGGGCACAAAACACUUGUACAUUUUUAUUUAUAUAUAUAUUUUGUAGGAGGUAGAUCAGCUUUAAUAUUGCAGAUUGUAGCUUCCAUCAAUGUAAUUGUCUGCAUCACUUCCAAUCCCACAUAUAUUUGUUUGUAAAAAAAUAAGUAAUAAUAUAUAUAUAUAUAUCUCUUUAAAAAACUUGUUUUCCCCUUUAUUACCCUCCAACCUUACCACCCCUUCCUCAAUUGGAGCAAACUAGAUAACUACAAUGCUUAGGCCUGUAUUUCCAGCUUACACAUACUAUAUGCAUUUUAUGGACAGUCUAUUUUACAAUAGUUCUAUUUUGUUUGUUUUACCUCCUGUCCUUCCUCUACCCUCAACCCUUCCAACUAUUUCUAAUGUCCAUCCAGUUAGAUUUUUAUUUGCCAUAUCUUUCAAACUGCUCUUUCACAGAAGUUCUUAACCUAUAUACGUUUUACGGACACAGUAUGUUUUACCUUAGUUAUCUUGUUAUUGUUAGUUAUUAUUAUAAGGACACAGUAUGUUUUACAUUAGUUAUCUUGUUAUUAUAAGGACACAGUAUGUUUUACAUUAGUUACCUUGUUAUUAUAAGGACACAGUAUGUUUUACCUUAGUUAUCUUGUUAUUAUUAGUUGUUAUAAGGACACAGUAUGUUUUACAUUAGUUAUCUUGUUAUUAUUAGUUGUUAUAAGGACACAGUAUGUUUUACAUUAGUUAUCUUGUUGUUAUUAGUU